rnacentral:lncRNA from 10 species
UGAAGAGCCAGUCACCAUGGCCACAUCUUGAGGUCACACAGUCAGCAGUUCGCUUUGCUCACUCAGUCCUAUAAGGGGAAGAAAAGACUCCUUGCUCAUUCUGAGAAGGCACAGCAAAAUAUGACAUUAAGAUUACCCGUCAGUUUGGCCAAACAUUAAGAUCUCCUUCAAGGUCCGCUACAGAACAGCAAGGUGGCCAGUGGGCUAGUGUGAAAUAAUUAAGAGGACAAUUCAUAGAAAAUGGAAAUGGAAAGACAGCAGGAGGGCAGACCAAACAGUAUCUCCUGGACCCGUUAAAGGCUUUGGAUUUUACACUGGAGAAAUGGAAAGCCUGCGACUAACUGAAAAAGUUACACAGCUGACACUGCUGCUUAAAGAAACCAGAUGGCGCCAGAGCUUCUUGACCCCUGACCAGAUGCCAGAGGAAGAUAAGACACCAUAAAACCAGCGCAAAUGGGAACUGGCAAACCCUGGGUGCCUUUAGAUCAUGAACAUAUCAUUAUAAUGCUAAUUUCCCUUCCCUAAAAGAAAAUCUCUGCCAUUUUGUGUACAUAUGAUAUAUGAAGAUGCAUGUUUAUGAAUUGGGCCUGCGUGUCUGGAGUCCCACCCUGCACAUACUAACAUUCCUUUCCUGCCCCAUAGGAAUAAAGGCAAUAAACCCCUUGCCUUUUAUU